AUAAGCUUGACCUCCCCAACAUGGCCGCCACAUAGGCACAUCGGUUAGCUGGGCUGGUACAGUGCACUGGUGUAUCUAGGGUGGGUUCGGAAAGUCAGUCUGACGCUCUAACGCUACUCUGAGUGAACGUGCCCCGGACAUUCCAACAACAUUUUUCCGAACGGUCCCAGGUGUAGAAGAGCAGAAGGUUUGAGAACACUUUAGACUAAAAAGGGACGAAAAUAAAGUGAUAUAGAAUUAUUGCAAAGUAGAGCUGGCAUACCACAGCAGGUUGGGAGAGAAAACAUCCACACGUGAGCUGGAUGAGAGGCUUUGUGGCAUACGUAAGGAGUUUUCUGGAUGGGCGAGCGAGUGUGCUGCUUACUGUGAGAGGCGUACCAGCAGAGAGUGAAAGAAGAAAACUUUACACCGCUGUGCAUGCCAUAGGGUCACUUGCAUGUACUUGAACCCCUAUCCUU